rnacentral:lncRNA from 1 species
UUUGCUUCUCUCUUGCGAUAACUUCUUCAUCACAGGGUUGACUACCGAUCUCAGCAGCUGCACCAAGUCUAGCAAUGAGUUGUUGAGUCUCAAAAUCCAACGUAGCCGGUGGCGUGUAGUUAGUAUCAUACGUCAACUGAUCGUCUGAUUCGCCUCUUGAUCCCAUAUCGUCUCUCAGGCUCUCAGCUCUCACGGUUUUUUUUUUCGAUAAUUCUAAGUUUCUAACUAAGUUACGGCUUCGUGCCCUAAGGAAAGAUACGUGGGUUAGUGGUCUUAGGGUUUUUUUAUUUUUUUUUAAAACCCCAAAUAUUGCAAUUAAAUUUUAUACUUAGAGUAUGAAACUUUAAAAUUGCUUGAGGACAAGCAGCUUAAACAUUCCUAUCAAUUCUUCCUAUUCCUAAGCAAGACAACGAGUUCUCCAAUCAACUUAGCGAGCUCUAACUUCUAAUCUACAUCAGCUUCUUUUUACAAUAUCCUAUUGCUAAGUGACUGACCUGAAGAUAGUUUCACGGAAUGAAAGGCUGGUCCAUGACCUGAGGCCCUGCCU